rnacentral:rRNA from 1 species
AGUGAACGCUGGCGGUAGGCCUAACACAUGCAAGUCGAACGGCAGCACAGUAAGAGCUUGCUCUUACGGGUGGCGAGUGGCGGACGGGUGAGGAAUACAUCGGAAUCUACUUUUUCGUGGGGAUAACGUAGGGAAACUUACGCUAAUACCGCAUACGACCUACGGGUGAAAGCAGGGGAUCUUCGGACCUUGCGCGGUUGCAUGAGCCGAUGUCGGAUUAGCUAGUUGGCGGGGUAAAGGCCCACCAAGGCGACGAUCCGUAGCUGGUCUGAGAGGAUGAUCAGCCACACUGGAACUGAGACACGGUCCAGACUCCUACGGGAGGCAGCAGUGGGGAAUAUUGGACAAUGGGCGCAAGCCUGAUCCAGCCAUACCGCGUGGGUGAAGAAGGCCUUCGGGUUGUAAAGCCCUUUUGUUGGGAAAGAAAAGCAGCAGGUUAAUACCCCGCUGUUCUGACGGUACCCAAAGAAUAAGCACCGGCUAACUUCGUG